CCGCGGGAAAGGCAUUUUGGGGACACAGGAGAGCUGCGAGGGCGACGCACGGGCGAGCUGUCGUUAGGGCCCAGAAAAGGCCCGUUGCGGGGCGCACAGGCGGGCAGGGGAACUCGCGCCCGUCGCCGCGCGCCCGGCCUCCUGACGCCAGGGCCGGCUUCUGAGCACAGCCACCGCGGCGGCCGGGGGCGGCCACUGCUCCCUGCGAGCCCGCGUCCCCGCCCCAGAAGCCCCCCGAGCCCGCGUCCGAGCUCCAGGCCCUGGAGGAGCCGGGCGGGCAGCUGACAGCCCCGGAGCCGCUCCCGGGCUCUCCGCGCGGUGGCAGCCAGGCCGUGCCUCCCGGUUCCCCUCCCGCGCCGCGCUGCCCCUCCGGGACCCACCAGGCCUGGCUGCACCUCUUUCCUCUGCGGCUCCCGCGGAGCCUUGGAAAGUGCCCUCCAGAGAUGUGCUUAGGAAGUGUGUGAUGAAUAAAGGAGACAAUCAGGAUAACUAUAAUAUUUAUUAUGCACUUG
rnacentral:antisense_RNA from 1 species